rnacentral:lncRNA from 1 species
UUAGAUCAAUUAAUCUAAUAUGACUUGCUCAUGUCGGUUCACUCUCGACUUGAUUGAGGAGGUUUUGAUUUAGGUCUCAAUUGGGCUUGCUACAUCACAUGUAAACCUAUCUACCCGACUCACAUUCACAUCACAUGCAAACGGCACAUUGCAGGCAGUUAUAAUCGCAGCAAUAAUUAAAGCUAAACUUUAAAUAGGUGAUGAUCAUGGAUUCUAGUUAGGUUGUAUUACAAGCACAUGCACGUCAAUCGAUCAA